GCCCGAGUGCUCAGCCCCACAGCCAGGGUCAGAGCGGUUCCUGCUGCUGCCCCGGGGGUCCCCAGCUGGAGCCCGGACAGCUGGAGACUUCCAGCAGCACCUUUGAUAUUCCUCUCACUUUGUCUGGAGCAGUAUUCUACGGGAAAGACUAAAUUACGAAGAAAAGACACAUUAUUUUGUCAUUGUUCAAGCAAAUGACUGAGGACAGAAUCUUAAUGAGCGAAGGACAAGUACAACCAGCCUGACAGUAGAUGUGCUCGAUGGGGACGAUUUGGGACCAAUGUUUCUUCCUUGUGUCUUGGUGAAUAAUACUCGUGACUGUAGACCUCUCACCUAUCAAGCGAGCUUGCCAGAACUGACUGAUCCUGCCACCCAAGACGGUCUUGAAUCGCUCCACUCCAUCCAUUUCUGCUCUUCCAGUAAAAG